rnacentral:rRNA from 1 species
UACAGAGGGGGCGAGCGUUAUUCGGAAUUAUUGGGCGUAAAGGGCGCGUAGGCGGCUUUGCAAGUGACGGGUGAAAUCCCUCGGCUUAACCGAGGAACUGCCUGUCAGACUGUAAGGCUUGAGACCGGGAGAGGUGAGUGGAAUUCCCAGUGUAGCGGUGAAAUGCGUAGAUAUUGGGAGGAACACCAGUGGCGAAGGCGGCUCACUGGACCGGUACUGACGCUGAGGCGCGAAAGCGUGGGGAGCGAUCCGG